GCAUGAUCCACUGAGUUUGUGAAUGAAAAUUAGAAAAGGUUUAAAGGUGUUGCAUACAGACGAUGUAAGGGAUUCCAUCUAAUAUGGGAUUCUAACUAGACCCCAAUGUUCUGAGUUUAUGAUUGCCAUCCAAGUUGGACAACAUUGAUUUUCAUAAUGUAAAUGCCUUUGUAUCAAGUAGUUUGAAAAGUGAAUGGUUUGAGAUUCCUGCAAUUGCCAGCAUA